GGCCUCCUGGUCGUUACCACAGGUUGUGUUCUUACAAUGACUGUAUAAAGAAGAGGGAAAGUAAACCUACUCCACAUACACCUCAACUCAGUCCCUGUGCCUGGUCUGUAUUAUAUGCAGGGAGACAUGG
rnacentral:snoRNA from 1 species